rnacentral:rRNA from 1 species
UACGUAGGGAGCAAGCGUUGUCCGGAAUCAUUGGGCGUAAAGCGCACGUAGGCGGCCCUGUAAGUCCGCUGUGAAAGUCAAAGGCUCAACCUUUGAAAGCCGGUGGAUACUGCAGGGCUAGAGUCCGGAAGAGGCGAGCGGAAUUCCUGGUGUAGCGGUGGAAUGCGCAGAUAUCAGGAGGAACACCAAUAGCGAAGGCAGCUCGCUGGGACGGUACUGACGCUAAGGUGCGAAAGCGUGGGGAGCGAACAGG